UCCAGGCAAAUCCGGAUAAUCAAGGCUGAGGUGUGAUGACGAGGCACUACGGUGCUGAAGUAACAAAUGCCCUGCUUCCAGGAAAAGCCUCUAAGCAUCAGGUAACAUCAAAUCGUACCCCAAACCGACACAGGUGGUCAGGUAGAGAAUACCAAGGCGCUUGAGAGAACUCGGGUGAAGGAACUAGGCAAAAUGGUGCCGUAACUUCGGGAGAAGGCACGCUGGUGUGUAGGUGAAGCCCCUGCGGGUGGAGCUGAGACCAGUCGAAGAUACCAGCUGGCUGCAACUGUUUAUUAAAAACACAGCACUGUGCAAACACGAAAGUGGACGUAUACGGUGUGACGCCUGCCCGGUGCCGGAAGGUUAAUUGAUGGGGUUAUCCGUAAGGAGAAGCUCUUGAUCGAAGCCCCGGUAAACGGCGGCCGUAACUAUAACGGUCCUAAGGUAGCGAAAUUCCUUGUCGGGUAAGUUCCGACCUGCACGAAUGGCGUAAUGAUGGCCAGGCUGUCUCCACCCGAGACUCAGUGAAAUUGAACUCGCUGUGAAGAUGCAGUGUACCCGCGGCAAGACGGAAAGACCCCGUGAACCUUUACUAUAGCUUGACACUGAACAUUGAGCCUUGAUGUGUAGGAUAGGUGGGAGGCUUUGAAGCGUGGACGCCAGUCUGCGUGGAGCCAACCUUGAAAUACCACCCUUUAAUGUUUGAUGUUCUAACGUUGGCCCCUNNNNNNNACCGGGGUUGCGGACAGUGUCUGGUGGGUAGUUUGACUGGGGCGGUCUCCUCCCAAAGCGUAACGGAGGAGCACGAAGGUUAGCUAAUCCUGGUCGGACAUCAGGAGGUUAGUGCAAUGGCAUAAGCUAGCUUGACUGCGAGCGUGACGGCGCGAGCAGGUGCGAAAGCAGGUCAUAGUGAUCCGGUGGUUCUGAAUGGAAGGGCCAUCGCUCAACGGAUAAAAGGUACUCCGGGGAUAACAGGCUGAUACCGCCCAAGAGUUCAUAUCGACGGCGGUGUUUGGCACCUCGAUGUCGGCUCAUCACAUCCUGGGGCUGAAGUAGGUCCCAAGGGUAUGGCUGUUCGCCAUUUAAAGUGGUACGCGAGCUGGGUUUAGAACGUCGUGAGACAGUUCGGUCCCUAUCUGCCGUGGGCGCUGGAGAAUUGAGGGGGGCUGCUCCUAGUACGAGAGGACCGGAGUGGACGCAUCACUGGUGUUCGGGUUGUCAUGCCAAUGGCACUGCCCGGUAGCUAAAUGCGGAAGAGAUAAGUGCUGAAAGCAUCUAAGCACGAAACUUGCCCCGAGAUGAGUUCUCCCUGAGACUUUAAGUCUCCUGAAGGAACGUUNGACGUUGAUAGGCCGGGUGUGUAAGCGCAGCGAUGCGUUGAGCUAACCGGUACUAAUGAACCGUGAGGCUUAACC
rnacentral:rRNA from 1 species